rnacentral:rRNA from 1 species
UGAGGAAUCUUGCGCAAUGGGCGAAAGCCUGACGCAGCCACGCCGCGUGCCGGAAGACGGCCCUAUGGGUUGUAAACGGCUUUUGGGUAGGAAGAAAGCCCGGGUUUCGACCUGGAUUGACGGUACUGCCUGAAUAAGCACCGGCUAACUCCGUGCCAGCAGCCGCGGUAAUACGGAGGGUGCAAGCGUUGUCCGGAAUCAUUGGGUGUAAAGGGUGCGUAGGCGGGCGCUUAAGUCUGGGGUGAAAUCUUGCCGCUUAACGGUAAAAUUGCCCUGGAUACUGGGUGUCUUGAGUGUAGAAGAGGCAGGUGGAAUUCGUAGUGUAGCGGUGAAAUGCUUAGAUAUUACGAAGAACAUCAGUGGCGAAGGCGGCCUGCUGGUCUACAACUGACGCUGAGGCACGAAAGCGUGGGGAGCGAACAGG